UGAAACAACAGAAAAAAGGGAAGGAUCUGAUUGGAGUCCUGUUCUGUCACUUUUUUUCCCCCUUAACUUGUACUCAGCCACCGUAAUGCAGAUCCAUAGAAAGCAGGCAGUACAUUCCUCCAGAGCUGGGUUAUGCUAGGUCGGUUUAACCAAAAAGACAAAAGAGCAAAAGAGUUGAGAGUAUUGACAAAAAAGUAAUCGAAAUUAUGGAUAUAGCAUGGAAUCAGUAUGGGAUAGGGAAAGAAGUGAAGAAGGGAAGAUGUAGGUAGAGGUAAAAGGUCCAAUAGACUGGAGAUUUCAAUGAGCCUUCCCUCUCUGCACCGCCCCCCCCC